GCCGGGCUAGCUCAAUCGGUAGAGCGUGUGGCUCUUAGUCACUGCAAACGCAGUGAUAAUGGGUCUACCACAAGGUUGCGGGUUCGACCCCCGCGUUCGGCU
rfam:Rasamsonia emersonii CBS 393.64 ctg1118621760036, whole genome shotgun sequence.